UACGUAGGGGGGCAAGCGUUGUCCGGAUUUAUUGGGCGUAAAGAGCGUGUAGGCGGCCUGACAGGUCUGCUGUGAAAACUCGAGGCUCAACCUCGAGAUGUCGGCGGAAACCGUCUGGCUAGAGUCCGGAAGAGGAGAGUGGAAUUCCUGGUGUAGCAGUGAAAAUGCGCAGAUAUCAGGAGGAACACCGGUGGCGAAGGCGGGUCUCUGGGCAAUAACUGACGCUGAGGAGCGAAAGCGUGGGGAGCGAACAGG
rnacentral:rRNA from 1 species